ACACCCAUCAAGCCUGGCUUGGUAUUGGGCGACGGGACCUCCCCGCGCCCCGAUUUCGCCGGCUGGACGUACCCCGAUCUUAAGCGCUGCAAGAAACCUUCGCUGAGAGACGGGCCGUAUUCGGCCGUUAAACAAUCAAA
rnacentral:misc_RNA from 1 species